UCAUCCAAAGGAGGUGCAGUAUGUGGAGAAAGGGGUGCUUGUCUCCACCAUUUUCUCCUUAGGAAGACUUCAAUGUUGGAGACCUUUAUUCUGAGUGCUGCUCUGGGGUGCUGUUCAAAAUCCAUACGUCUCAUGAAUUAUGCUGCCAGAUCUAGGAGGAGCCAGAGUCCUCUUCGGAACUAGCAUAUCUGCUUCAGAAAGCGUGGAAAGAAAAGAGCCUGGUGGGAAAAGUCUAUCAAGUGAUAAUGACGUGCCCUUAUGGAAAAAAUUCUGGGUUCAGAAACAAUAGAGAUACCAAACAAGAUAAGACUAAGCCACAGAGAUAUCUGAAAAGCUGCCAUCAAUCAAACCUCUUUGUGAAGCCGGUUAGUGCAGGUUCCAUUGUUCUAAGGAGCAGGCAAAAGGAACAAAUAAAAUCCAGCUGUUUCUUCACUCUUGCACCAGAUAAAACCCUCCAAAACCCCUCAAGGUGAACCUCAUGUCAACCAAAACCAAGGCGUGAGCCAGAGCCUAAACAGAGGAAAGAAAAUAGAAGAGAGAAUUCUAGCGACAUAUCUGGUCAUCAUUCCAAGCAACCUGGUUGAACUUUUGCAUUGACAAACAACUUUUUCCAGAGCAUUUUUAAAUUUACAAGCUGGUUUGCAACAAAGCUUUUCAAAAAGAAGUCUUUAUGAUGGUAAAUCUUUCAAAGAAAUGUGUUCUAGACCAAGAAAGGCAAACCUUUCAUGUCUUGUUUAGUCUCUAGCAUGCUUGUUUGCAAAACACAAGCUCCAGUCUGCAUGUUUCUGCAGUCAACUGACUGUCUUAGAAAAUAUCUCAAAAUCAAUCUGUCCCCGUGCUUGCUUAUGAUUCGCAGUAAUCCUCUGUUUGUAGUCACAAGUUGUCAGGAGAACAUCAUGUAAGGCAUGGUAUGAACACUUAAGAAAUCUUGAAAUCAGAAACCUCAAUUUUCUUUCUCUUGAAGUGUUCCUAAGGGAUGAAAAAUGAGAAAUGAAAUUAGCAUCUACUGUUACCUCAUUUAAUUCCUUCAACAAUCUUAAGGGUAUUAUUGUCUCCAAAAAGAAACCAAGGCUCAGAGAAAAGGACUGACUUGCCCUGUGACCUAUGACCAGGGGUCCCACGCUGGGACCCAGAAUUCUGACUCGAACCCAGUGCUGGUUCCCUGUGUCCCAGAGAUGGGCAAGAUAAGAUGUUCUUUAAAACUUUAUGCUUGCUGGGCACCUCAAAAAACCCUUAUGAAUUCUUGCUUAAGUUAUUUUGGCAUAAUAAUAUCACUAAGUCCAUUGAAAAUUAAACUUUUAGAAUCUCUGUUAUAUGGCUAGAUCAAUACUAAACUACACCUUUUUUUCCAAGUCCCUGGAAAAAGUGAAAUUAUAAUUUUUGACUACAUGGGAGAGCUUUGGUGCCUCAUACACUUGCAUUAAAUGCAGUAUCCUUUAAAAUAAUAGAAUAUGUAUUUGUGAGAGUAAAAAUUUAUACAUGCAGCAGUCCAUAAGAGAAUUAGAUCCAGAAAUUGUAACUUGAAAGAGUUCUAAACUCUUAGAACAAAUUGAUUUAAAUUUGAAUAGUACUGAAUAUGAAUUGAUGGAAAGUGAAUAUUUAGAACCCCCUUUUGUGAAUUUCAGUAAGCUGACAUUUGUUAGCUCCUGACGCAGGAGAUUUCUGAGUCAAGAACUAAAGGUACCUUGAAUUACCUGACAGAUAAUCAUACAGAGAUGUGAAGUCAAAUGUCGUGUUCCAUUAAAGCCUAAUCUGCAGUUGCAGGAAGGUGGACAAUCUUGCCUAAACAUUUGACAGAUUUGGAAUGUCUCUUGCCAUAGACAUUUAGCAUGAACCAGCUUCAUUGUCCUAGUAUCUGUCACACAGAAAUGGUCCCUUGCUCGGCUUCUAAUGGAUUUGCUGCAAAGGCUGUGAGGAAUGAGUCACACUCAGGGACACAAUGACACAGGAACAGCUUCUACAACACAAUCCUCUGCAAUAGAGAAAGCUGUGCCUCUCCCCAGGGACCUGCCUAUACAGUCGGUCUUCUUUCCACUAAGGAGGCAUUCCUGAGAGCCCCCCAUAAAUUAAGGACAACUUCUCUAGGUAACUACUAAAAAAUAAGGCCAACAAACUAAAUCCUUGGGAUAUGAAAUAUUAAUGUGAUGGGAAUUACCUUAAUAGGAAACAAUUGAGUAUACACUGUAUUACAUAAGUGAGGCUUAAAAAAAAAAUAACAUUGAGUUCCGAGCCUUUUUUUUCCUCCUUGGAAAAUGCCUUGAAAUCUUUUCCAUCAAUACAGUCUAACAGUACAGGUUAUGGGUGACAUAUAGUUUCAAGGCAAAUUGCAGCUUAGUUGGUCAAACUGUUUCAGUAGGAAAAAAAUGACAAUUUGAAAGAGUUCUGGAAGGGCUAACACCAAACAGUUCCAUCUUGACCUCAAACCAACGCAAUCUGCAAACAAGUCAAUAUGUGAACCCAAAGGAAGAAUUCUGCCCCAGCCUAAGAAAGGGACAACUUUUCCUUCUCUGGAAUCAAAAUGUUCCAUGAAAUUAAAUCAUUGAUUAAAAGUUGGGGAGGCAAAGACUGUCAAAACGUCAGUUAAGAUACUUUAGGCUGCAAAUCUGAUUCACCGUUGCUUAAACGAUAAGAAAUAGUAUCUGCACAGCUGGAAGUCCAGGAUGGGAUGGCUUCAAGUUUGGCUCUAUCCAGGGACUGUCUCUCAAUUUUCUGUUUAGUGGGUGUUGUCCUAGGCUGGCUUCACUCAAGGGGAUAAAAGUAAGUAUGGUCGUCCCAGGCCUUAUAUCCAUCUAUACAACAUUCUGGGGAAGAGGUUUCUGGAA